GGUGCUGUGGCCUAGCUGGUUAAAGCGGCUGUUUCCUAAACAGGAAAUCCUGGGUUUGAAUCCCAGUGGUCCCC
rnacentral:tRNA from 1 species